rfam:Burkholderia glathei PML1(12) contig00077, whole genome shotgun sequence.
GUCAAUCACCCCGCCCUUCGGGGCCCUGAAGGGCGAGGCUUGUUAAAUCAAGCCUGAUUGACCAGCCUGAGCUGUGAGAGGUAUCGCAGCUACGUUGUACGGAAGUUAAAGACUCACCCUGGAAUGCUUCCUCAGUUCCAGGCUCUGAAACCUGCAGCCGCAGACAAGCUUUGGGUAGGCGCGAAACGGGCUGCGAGGAUGUGCUGCCGUAUCCCGAAAGGGACUAGGAGCCGUAGGCUCCGUCGCAACAUUGGCGAGGGGAGCGCAGC